UCACCCCAACCACCCAGGGCAGCCGCCAGCCUCCCCGUGGCCCCGUCUCGCCGCUGCGAGACUCCUCUCACCCAAACCCAACUACCUCCUCGGCUCCUCGCCCACGCCUCCUCAUCACGCUUCCGCCGCCGCCGCCGCCGCCCCGCUCCCCCCCCUCCCGGUCAGCCGCUGAGCCGAGGCGUGGCGCAGCCUCCUCUCCUCUUACGCCGCCGCCCACCGCAGCACGAUCGGAGAUCCGCGCCGCUCCUCCGAUCGGCACAUUUAUCUAUAUGCCUAUGUCCUAUCUGCUGACAUGUAUAGACAGGCUCAAGUUCAGUCAGCCUUUGGGCUGGCUUCCAUGAUAUUUAAUCUUUUCCAAGUAUUAUCUGUAAUUCUCGGUGGUUGAACCUAUGCUAUAAUUGUUCAUUUCAACAGCAUAGUGAUCAGAUAGCAGUAUGACUUCAUGUGAUGCAUCUUUCUAAUGUUUUCCGUGCUAGUGAUUUUCUUAAUGAAUUAAUUGGUCAUAUGAUUCGUGGGUCACAUGUGCUGGCUAGUUUGAAAAGCUGUGCUAAAUUGGAUGCGUUACAAUGGAGGUUGACAGCCUAAGAGAAGGAUUUGACCGAGUUGCUGAGAAACGUGAGUUAUCUUCUGCUAAAGCUCUGGAAGCUGUUGAUCAUUUAGUGAAUGAAGUUGAGCAGGCAAUUGUCAAGCUGCAGAUGAUGAAUACAGAUUCUACUGGGAAUCUUGACCAUACAACCAUCCUUGCAGAACUGAAAGCUAAGUUGAAUGAAAUGGCACCACUAAACCAACUUGAAGGCAGUCAAAAGGACGGUACGGAAUUUUCCCGUUCCUGCUUUCAUCCCUAUUCACAGGCUACAAAUGAAGAUUAAAACUGUUAUUUUGGAUGACUUAAAAUCACACUAGUAAUGAAGAUGGUGUUCCUUACAAUGUAAGGUUUUGCCAUACAGAUAUACUUUCUCCUAUUGUUGUGUUACUGCAUACAAUUUUCUAUCUGCAGACCAUUUAAUUUCCGUUGGUUGAUUUACCUCGGAGGUUCUGAUGAUUUGUCCAGGUUGUAGUUCAAAUUCGGUCGUUGGUUGUUGCAAUUGGUAGCUGCGUCAUUCUUUUCCCUGUUUCAUUAUUUUAUAGUUCAGUUUCUUGAUGAUUUGUUCAGGUUGUAGUUCAAAGAGGUGCCCCCCUUUUCUUGGGUGUGAUUAGGUGUACAACAGUUUGUAAAUUUUUGCUUGCGCAGACGGACCAUGUCUGUUCAAGUUGUUCUUUCGAGUAUAUAAGAACAUGUGUAUUCACAUCU